CCUACGGGUGGCAGCAGUGAGGAAUAUUGGUCAAUGGGCGUAAGCCUGAACCAGCCAAGUCGCGUGAGGGAUGAAGGUUCUAUGGAUCGUAAACCUCUUUUAUAAGGGAAUAAAGUGUGGGACGUGUCCUGUUUUGUAUGUACCUUAUGAAUAAGGAUCGGCUAACUCCGUGCCAGCAGCCGCGGUAAUACGGAGGAUCCGAGCGUUAUCCGGAUUUAUUGGGGUUAAAGGGUGCGUAGGCGGCCUUUUAAGUCAGCGGUGAAAGUCUGUGGCUCAACCAUAGAAUUGCCGUUGAAACUGGGAGGCUUGAGUAUGUUUGAGGCAGGCGGAAUGCUUGGUGUAGCGGUGAAAUGCUUAGAUAUCACGCAGAACCCCGAUUGCGAAGGCAGCCUGCCAAGCCAUGACUGACGCUGAUGCACGAAAGCGUGGGGAUCAAACAGGAUUAGAGACCCCAGUAGUC
rnacentral:rRNA from 1 species